CAUAUCUCUUCUUCUUCGCAUUAAGACGAAAUGUUCUGAACAAGUACAGAAGAAAUGUUUAAUUAAUCAUUUAACUAAGUGAUUUUAUUUUCUUCAAGAUUCUUAUCAGGCUAAUUGACUGGUGGCAGAUUGGGUAAACAUGUAUAUAAAAUAAAGUGACAUAAAGGCCAUGAAGACAGACUGUACAAUAACAUGCUGAAAGUGCAUGAGUUUGACGAAGGCCCACGUGUAAUCCCUUACUGACAAUUGCAGAACUCUGGCCAACAGAUUUCACAUUGGGAUAUAAUGGCAAGUUGGGAUAAGGAUAUAAUGGCAAGUUGGGAUGAGGAUAUAAGUGCAAGUUCGGAUGAGGAUAUAAUGGCAAGUUGGGAUGAGAAACUUAUUACAGCUGCAGAGUUCGGGAAUAUAAAAGAGGUAGAAUUAUGUGUAAAGAACAGAGCUAACUUGGAAUGUAGAG